GCCGGGCACAGUGGCGCGUGCCUGUAGUCCCAGCUACUCGGGAGGCUGAGGUGGGAGGAUCGCUUGAGCCCAGGAGUUCUGGGCUGUAGUGUGCUAUGCCGAUCGGGUGUCCGCACUAAGUUCGGCAUCAAUGUGGUGACCUCCCGGGAGCGGGGAACCACCAGGUUGCCUAAGGAGGAGUGAACCGGCCCAGGUCGGAAACGGAGCAGGUCAAACUCCCGUGCUGAUCAAUAAUUCAUUCUUUUUCUCAUGGCCUUUUCCCAUAUAUAAACUAUAUUUGCAAGUUAUUUUC
ensembl:misc_RNA Metazoa_SRP Metazoan signal recognition particle RNA